rnacentral:rRNA from 1 species
AAAUGAAUAGACGGGCACUCGCACAAGCAGAGGAGCGCGUGGUUUAAUUCGACGGCAAUCGAAGAACCUUACCAGGGUUUGAAAUGUAUCUGCAUGCCUUAUGAAAAUUUGGCAGCCUUCGAGGGUGAUACACAGGUGCUGCAUGGCCGUCGUCAGCUCGUGUCGUGAGAUGUAGGGUUAAGUCCCGAAACGAGCGCAACCCCUAUUCUAUGUUACAAGUGUCUUAGAAAACCGCUUCGGUAAAACGAGGAGGAAGGUGGGGAUGACGUCUGGUCCGCAUAGCCCUUAUGUCCUGGGCUACACACGCGCUACAAUGGCUAAUAUAAUGGGAAGCCAAACCGUAAGGUGGAGCUGAUCCUCAAAAUUAGUCUCAGUUCGGAUUGAGGUCUGCAACUCGACCUCAUGAAGGUGGAUUUGCUAGUAAUCGUGAAUCAGCCAUGUCACGGUGAAUACGUUCUCGAGUGUUGCACACACCGCCCGU